GGGAAGUCAAAUAAAUGCUGUCAACCAACAAGUUUUGCACUCUAGGAGCAAUGAAAUGCAGAGUACAUUUUUAUCAAUGAAAAAAAUUGAUUAAGGAUGUACCAAACACUGACUAAAAUCAAUUUGGCUCACUUAAUUUUCAUAAAAUUUUAAUAAAAUAUUUACGUUUGACCUUUUUGACAAAAAUAUUAAAAUUUCAAAAAACUUGAACCUUGCUCUUUGGAUAAAUAGAAGUUUGAGAAACACUAAUUCUGAUCAAAGAGAAGCUUAAUAUUUCCUAAAUAAUAGAAAGUGAUUAAAAUGUUCAUCUGAUUUUUACAGAGUUAUCUCCCUGCAAUGUUAUGUACCAGAGUUAUCUCCCUGCAAUGUUAUGUACCAUUUCAAAAAUGUUGUUACAUAUGUAAAAGGUAGUUAUCAUUUGCUGAUUGUAUUGAACAUAAAUUGACAGUAACAAUCAUAACAUACUGUCUAUUGUUGAAGACCUUUGUUGACCUCUUGAUGUCUUCUUGUUGUUGGGUUGUUACCUCAUUAACAUAUACCUCCCAUCUCUUUAAAAUAUUAAAAAAGGUGAGAUUACAUAAAUUAUCACUGUAACAAUAAUAUCAGUAGUAUGAACUAUGUUUGUCUAAUUGACAGCUGUUUCAAAUUGGUGGUUGUUUUUUUGAAAAAUAGUAGACUGAAUUUUCUCCCUUUAUAAUAAACAGCUAUCAAGUGUUUAUUUUAAAUAAGUUAUAUAAAGAUGAAC
rnacentral:lncRNA from 1 species